GAAAAAAGGGCAUUCUGAUAGGACAGAAAUGGAACAUGGGCGGGGACAAAUAAGGGAAUAGAAGCUGGCCACCCCAGCCAACAGCAGGAACCCGCUGGGUCCACCUUCCAUGCUGUGGGAGCUUUGUUCUUUUGCUCUUCAUGAUAAAUCUUGCUGCUCCUCACUCUUUGCCUCCCUACCACCUUUAAGAGCUGUAACACUCACAGUGAAGGUCCACGGUUUCAUUCUUGAAGUCAGCGAGACCACGAACCCACUGGCAGGAACCCACUCCAGACACAUCAUGAGACACUAAAGGAGCACUAUGGAGGGGCUCACAUGGGAGAGACAGGUCUGAAGAAAGGCUACUUCCACUGUGCAAGAACCAGAAAUGCAGCUGUACGGAGCUCCGUUACUCACUAUACAAAGUAACAUUUUAUCACACAAUAAAAG
rnacentral:lncRNA from 1 species